AGCGAACGCUGGCGGCAGGCCUAACACAUGCAAGUCGAACGGAUCCUUCGGGAUUAGUGGCGGACGGGUGAGUAACACGUGGGAACGUGCCCUUUGGUUCGGAACAACUCAGGGAAACUUGAGCUAAUACCGGAUGUGCCCUUCGGGGGAAAGAUUUAUCGCCAUUGGAGCGGCCCGCGUCUGAUUAGCUAGUUGGUGAGGUAAAGGCUCACCAAGGCUACGAUCAGUAGCUGGUCUGAGAGGAUGAUCAGCCACAUUGGGACUGAGACACGGCCCAAACUCCUACGGGAGGCAGCAGUGGGGAAUCUUGCCCAAUGGGCGAAAGCCUGACGCAGCCAUGCCGCGUGAAUGAUGAAGGUCUUAGGAUUGUAAAAUUCUUUCACCGGGGACGAUAAUGACGGUACCCGGAGAAGAAGCCCCGGCUAACUUCGUGCCAGCCGCCGCGGUAACAC
rnacentral:rRNA from 1 species